rnacentral:rRNA from 1 species
ACUGCUCAGUAACACGUGGAUAACCUGACCUAGGGUGGAGGAUAACCCCGGGAAACUGGGGAUAAUACUCCAUAGGCUACGGAAGCUGGAAGGCUCUGUAACCGAAAGCUCCGGCGCCCUAGGAUGGGUCUGCGGCCGAUUAGGUUGUUGUUGGGGUAACGGCCCAACAAGCCGAUCAUCGGUACGGGUUGUGGGAGCAAGAGCCCGGAGAUGGAUUCUGAGACAUGAAUCCAGGCCCUACGGGGCGCAGCAGGCGCGAAAACUUUACAAUGCGGGAAACCGUGAUAAGGGGACCCCGAGUGCCUGUACACGCAGGCUGUUCAGGUGUUUAAAACGCAUCUGGAGAAAGGGCCGGGCAAGACCGGUGCCAGCCGCCGCGGUAAUACCGGCGGCUCGAGUGGUGGCCACUAUUACUGGGCUUAAAGCGUCCGUAGCCGGGUUGUUAAGUCUCCUGGGAAAUCCAACGGCUCAACCGUUGGGCGCUCAGGGGAUACUGGCAAUCUAGGGAUCGGGGGAGGUGAGAGGUACUCUAGGGGUAGGAGUGAAAUCCUGUAAUCCUUGGGGGACCACCUGUGGCGAAGGCGUCUCACCAGAACGACUCCGACGGUGAGGGACGAAAGCUGGGGGAGCAAACCGGAUUAGAUACCCGGGUAGUCCCAGCUGUAAACGAUGCGCGUUAGGUGUAUCGGUGACUACGAGUUACCGAGGUGCCGAAGGGAAACCGUGAAACGUGCCGCCUGGGAAGUACGGUCGCAAGGCUGAAACUUAAAGGAAUUGGCGGGGGAGCAC